GCUCAAAGCAGCAGAGGAUAUUGUCACCUAUAUGGAGAUGAAAGAGGAAGAAGUAUAUUUAUGCUUCUUUCUCUUGAAGCGUUUGAGCCGAGUCUCAAAGGAAGACAGGCAUUCCAAGAAGCAGAGGUCACAGCCUGAGCAAAGGCAGAGAGAUAGGAAAUGCAGGAUCCAUCAUGUGUGACAAACAGCAAUGAACAUUGGAGAGUUGGUGGGAGAGACAGGAGGACCAGGUAGCAAAAAGGAAAAAGGAAAAAAAAGAAAAGAG